rnacentral:rRNA from 1 species
UGGGGAAUAUUGCGCAAUGGGGGCAACCCUGACGCAGCAACGCCGCGUGAUUGAAGAAGGCCUUCGGGUUGUAAAGAUCUUUAAUUAGGGACGAAUUUUGACGGUACCUAAAGAAUAAGCUCCGGCUAACUACGUGCCAGCAGCCGCGGUAAUACGUAGGGAGCAAGCGUUAUCCGGAUUUACUGGGUGUAAAGGGCGAGUAGGCGGGCUGGUAAGUUGGAAGUGAAAUCCCGGGGCUUAACCCCGGAACUGCUUUCAAAACUGCUGGUCUUGAGUGAUGGAGAGGCAGGCGGAAUUCCCAGUGUAGCGGUGAAAUGCGUAGAUAUUGGGAGGAACACCAGUGGCGAAGGCGGCCUGCUGGACAUUAACUGACGCUGAGGAGCGAAAGCGUGGGGAGCAAACA